GACGAACCGUGCGAACGUUGUUCGGAUUCACUGGGCUUAAAGGGCGCGUAGGCGGGCGUUCAAGUCCGGGGUGAAAGCCUCCAGCUCAACUGGAGAAGUGCCUCGGAUACUGAAUGUCUAGAGGGAAGUAGGGGCAUGCGGAACUUCCGGUGGAGCGGUGAAAUGCGUAGAUAUCGGAAGGAACACCGGUGGCGAAAGCGGCGUGCUGGACUUCUACUGACGCUGAGGCGCGAAAGCUAGGGGAGCAAACGGG
rnacentral:rRNA from 1 species